rnacentral:rRNA from 1 species
AUUGAACGCUGGCGGAAUGCUUUACAUAUGCAAGUCGAACGGCAGCACGGACUUCGGUCUGGUGGCGAGUGGCGAACGGGUGAGUAAUGUAUCGGAACGUGCCCAGUCGUGGGGGAUAACGUAGUGAAAAUUACGCUAAUACCGCAUACGAUCUAUGGAUGAAAGCGGGGGAUCGCAAGACCUCGCGCGAUUGGAGCGGCCGAGAUCAGAUUAGGUAGUUGGUGGGGUAAAGGCCCACCAAGCCAACGAUCUGUAGCUGGUCUGAGAGGACGACCAGCCACACUGGAACUGAGACACGGUCCAGACUCCUACGGGAGGCAGCAGUGGGGAAUUUUGGACAAUGGGCGAAAGCCUGAUUCAGCCAUUCCGCGUGCAGGAUGAAGGCCCUCGGGUUGUAAACUGCUUUUGUACAGAACGAAAAGGUUUCUACUAAUACUAGGAGCUCAUGACGGUACUGUAAGAAUAAGCACCGGCUAACUACGUGCCAGCAGCCGCGGUAA